UCGGUGGAGCGGAAGUUCCUCCCCGGCCAUCUCUUUCACUUGCCAGACUUGUGUGGGCUGCGGUCACAGGCAGCUGUCCGGGGUCCUUGCUGUGUGGCUACCAACACCACGAUCAUUCCUACCGGCCCCAGGGAGCCUCGGGCUCAGAUAUGGUGGCGGGAUCCCGGCGGCCAACCCCAAGUCUUGCAGAGCCCUGUGCUCCCGUCUCCCCAGCGAGACGCCUCCUGAGAAGUCUAUGUAGUUGAGCAUGUUAACGUAUGCCCACAGCACCAGCCCGUGCGAGAUGAAGACGAAUUGAAGCCCGGUUUGGAUUGUAUGCCACGUUCUGAGCCAACCAGAGCUAGGUGCAAGAGUGUCUCAAAGACCAAACCAGACCAAAACCAAAACAAAGUGAUGUAGACAUUCAGUGUUUUCAAAUGAGUUAACUUGGAAAUAGAUUAAGAAACACCGUAUCCAGCCAGUUGCCCUGGUGCAUUAUAAUACACGAUGGCCCUCUUCUACAGUGAUUUGUUGUUCAACUUUUACUGGAGUAAAGGAAAAUGGAGUAAAAUAAUGGGAACUAUAUUUACUAAAUUUUUGCUUACCAAUUAACCAUAAAAAAAUGUCUAACUUC